rnacentral:rRNA from 1 species
AUUGAACGCUGGCGGCAUGCCUUACACAUGCAAGUCGAACGGCAGCACGGGUGCUUGCACCUGGUGGCGAGUGGCGAACGGGUGAGUAAUAUAUCGGAACGUACCUUAUUGUGGGGGAUAACGCAGCGAAAGCUGUGCUAAUACCGCAUAAUCCCUAAGGGGGAAAGCGGGGGACCGUAAGGCCUCGCGCAAUUAGAGCGGCCGAUACCUGAUUAGCUAGUUGGUGAGGUAAAGGCUCACCAAGGCAACGAUCGGUAGCUGGUCUGAGAGGACGAUAGGCCAGGCUGGGACUGAGACACGGCCCAGACUCCUUCGGGAGGCAGGGGUGGGGAAUUUUGGACAAUGGGGGCAACCCUGAUCCAGCAAUGCCGCGUGAGUGAAGAAGGCCUUCGGGUUGUAAAGCUCUUUUGUCAGGGAAGAAACAGCAGCUCUAACACAGUUUGCGAAUGACGGUACCUGAAGAAUAAGCACCGGCUAACUACGUGCCAGCCGCCGCUGUAA